GAUGAACGCUAGCGGCAGGCCUAAUACAUGCAAGUCGAGGGGUAACAGAAAAAGCUUGCUUUUUGCUGACGACCGGCGCACGGGUGCGUAACGCGUAUGCAACCUGCCCAUCACUGGGGGAUAGCCCGGGGAAACCCGGAUUAAUACCCCAUGAUACCAUAAAGUAGCAUUGCUUAUUGGUUAAAGAUUCAUUGGUGAUGGAUGGGCAUGCGUCUGAUUAGUUAGUUGGUGAGGUAACGGCUCACCAAGACGACGAUCAGUAGCGGGUCUGAGAGGAUGAUCCGCCACACUGGUACUGAGACACGGACCAGACUCCUACGGGAGGCAGCAGUAGGGAAUAUUGGGCAAUGGAGGCAACUCUGACCCAGCCAUGCCGCGUGAAGGAAGAAGGCCUUCUGGGUUGUAAACUUCUUUUAUACAGGAAUAAAAGACCCAUGCGUGGGGCAUUGAAUGUACUGUAUGAAUAAGCACCGGCUAACUCCGUGCCAGCCGCCGCAGUAACAC
rnacentral:rRNA from 1 species